UCCUACGGGAGGCAGCAGUGGGGAAUCUUAGACAAUGGGGGCAACCCUGAUCUAGCCAUGCCGCGUGAGUGAUGAAGGCCUUAGGGUCGUAAAGCUCUUUCGCCUGUGAUGAUAAUGACAGUAGCAGGUAAAGAAACCCCGGCUAACUCCGUGCCAGCAGCCGCGGUAAUACGGAGGGGGUUAGCGUUGUUCGGAAUUACUGGGCGUAAAGCGCGCGUAGGCGGAUUAGAAAGUUGGGGGUGAAAUCCCGGGGCUCAACCUCGGAACUGCCUCCAAAACUGCUAGUCUAGAGUUCGAGAGAGGUGAGUGGAAUUCCGAGUGUAGAGGUGAAAUUCGUAGAUAUUCGGAGGAACACCAGUGGCGAAGGCGGCUCACUGGCUCGAUACUGACGCUGAGGUGCGAAAGUGUGGGGAGCAAACAGGAUUAGAUACCCUGGUAGUCCACACCGUAACGAUGAAUGCCAGUCGUCGGAUAGUAUACUAUUCGGUGACACACCUAACGGGAUUAAGCAUUCCCGCCUGGGGAGUACGGUCGCAAGAUUAAAACUCAAGGGAUUUGACGGGGA
rnacentral:rRNA from 1 species